AUUCCAUGAUGGGGACAUUCUAGGACAAGUCUUGGAAGCGCUCCCAUGCUUCUGGAACAGAUUCAUCAUUUUGUUGCUGAAAACUUGUAAUCUUCCCACAGAGAGC
rnacentral:snoRNA from 1 species